GCCUCCCAAAGUGCUGGGAUUACAGGCGUGAGCCACCGCGCCCAGCCCUGUUACUGUUCUUAAUGUGGGUUCUAAACAAUUUUAAAUUAAUUAC